GACAUUCUGAGUUUCCCUUGCUGUACCUACUUCUUUGCUUUAAAGGAACCACUGAGAUAUCUCAAGUGGACUGCCAUCUAGAAAACAGAAAACCACCAGUCUGGUACUGCCUACACUACUAUCCAUUGUUCCAUCAGUAGAAUCACCUAAGGCAAUAAAGCAUGCCCUGGGAGGUGAUACUUCAUAAAUACGUGAGCCAUAUGCUGCCAUUCACAAUCCACAGCUCCGUAAAGCUGCUUCCUGAGAGGUGUCCUGAGCUCCAGAGGGUCCUUGAUGGUCACUAAUAGUGCAGGAUGAGCCACUGGGAAGUUAGAAAGCUGGACUGGGAGCAACAUUGGGCAGAUGUU